UACAGAGGUCCCGAGCGUUGUUCGGAAUCACUGGGCGUAAAGGGUGCGUAGGCGGGUCUUUAAGUCAGGGGUGAAAUCCUGGAGCUCAACUCCAGAACUGCCUUUGAUACUGAAGAUCUUGAGUUCGGGAGAGGUGAGUGGAACUGCGAGUGUAGAGGUGAAAUUCGUAGAUAUUCGCAAGAACACCAGUGGCGAAGGCGGCUCACUGGCCCGAUACUGACGCUGAGGCACGAAAGCGUGGGGAGCAAACAGG
rnacentral:rRNA from 1 species